GUCGAACGAUGAACCUGGAGCUUGCUCUAGGGAAUUAGUGGCGAACGGGUGAUAACACGUGAGUAACCUGCCCUUGACUCUGGGAUAACCUCCGGAAACGGAAGCUAAUACCGGAUAUGACGCACGGAGGCAUCUCCUGUGCGUGGAAAGAACUUCGGUCAAGGAUGGACUCGCGGCCUAUCAGGUAGUUGGUGAGGUAACGGCUCACCAAGCCUACGACGGGUAGCCGGCCUGAGAGGGUGACCGGCCACACUGGGACUGAGACACGGCCCAGACUCCUACGGGAGGCAGCAGUGGGGAAUAUUGCACAAUGGGCGCAAGCCUGAUGCAGCAACGCCGCGUGAGGGACGACGGCCUUCGGGUUGUAAACCUCUUUUAGUAGGGAAGAAGCGAAAGUGACGGUACCUGCAGAAAAAGCCCGGCUAACUACGUGCCAGCAGCCGCGGUAAUACGUAGGGUGCGAGCGUUGUCCGGAAAUUGGGCGUAAAGAGCUCGAGGCGGCUGUCGCGUCUGCUGUGAAAACCCGAGGCUCAACCUCGGGCCUGCAGUGGGUACGGGCAGACUAAUGCGGUAGGGGAGAAUGAAUUCCGUGUAGCGUGAAUGCGCAGAUAUCAGGAGGAACACCGAUGGCGAAGGCAGUUCUCUGGGCCGUAACUGAC
rnacentral:rRNA from 1 species